GACGAACGCUGGCGGCGUGCUUAACACAUGCAAGUGGAGCGACGAACCAGGGCUUGCCCUGGGGCAAAGCCGCGAACGGGUGAGUAUCACGUGGGUAACGUGCCCCGAUGACCGGGACAACCCGAGGAAACUCGGGCUAAUACCGGAUGUGCUGUGUCGCCGUAAGGUGACUCAGUAAAGGAAGCUUCGGCCUCCGCAUUGGGAGCGGCCCGCGGCCCAUUAGCUUGUUGGUGAGGUAACGGCUCACCAAGGCAACGAUGGGUAGCUGGUCUGAGAGGACGAUCAGCCACACUGGGACUGAGACACGGCCCAGACUCCUACGGGAGGCAGCAGUGGGGAAUCUUGCGCAAUGCGCGAAAGCGUGACGCAGCAACGCCGCGUGAGGGAAGAAGGCCUUCGGGUUGUAAACCUCUUUCAGGAGGGACGAAGGUUCAGGCGCGAAUAGCGUCCUGGACUGACGGUACCUCCAGAAGAAGCUCCGGCUAACUACGUGCCAGCAGCCGCAGUAACAC
rnacentral:rRNA from 1 species